ACACAUGCAAGUCGAACGAGCGAGAGAAAGCUUGCUUUCUUGAGCGAGUGGCGAACGGGUGAGUAACGCGUGAGGAACCUGCCUCAAAGAGGGGGACAGCAGUUGGAAACGACUGCUAAUACCGCAUAAGCCCACGGGUCGGCAUCGACCAGAGGGAAAAGGAGCAAUCCGCUUUGAGAUGGCCUCGCGUCCGAUUAGCUAGUUGGUGAGGUAACGGCCCACCAAGGCAACGAUCGGUAGCCGGACUGAGAGGUUGAACGGCCACAUUGGGACUGAGACACGGCCCAGACUCCUACGGGAGGCAGCAGUGGGGAAUAUUGCACAAUGGGGGAAACCCUGAUGCAGCGACGCCGCGUGGAGGAAGAAGGUCUUCGGAUUGUAAACUCCUGUUGUUGAGGAAGAUAAUGACGGUACUCAACAAGGAAGUGACGGCUAACUACGUGCCAGCAGCCGCGGUAAAACGUAGGUCACAAGCGUUGUCCGGAAUUACUGGGUGUAAAGGGAGCGCAGGCGGGAAGACAAGUUGGAAGUGAAAUCUAUGGGCUCAACCCAUAAACUGCUUUCAAAACUGUUUUUCUUGAGUAGUGCAGAGGUAGGCGGAAUUCCCGGUGUAGCGGUGGAGUGCGUAGAUAUCGGGAGGAACACCAGUGGCGAAGGCGGCCUACUGGGCACCAACUGACGCUGAGGCUCGAAAGUGUGGGUAGCAAACAGGAUUAGAUACCCUGGUAGUCCACACCGUAAACGAUGAU
rnacentral:rRNA from 1 species